rnacentral:rRNA from 1 species
GAGUUUGUAUCCUGGCUCAGGAUGAACGCUAGCUACAGGCUUAACACAUGCAAGUCGAGGGGAAACGACAUCGAAAGCUUGCUUUUGAUGGGCGUCGACCGGCGCACGGGUGAGUAACGCGUAUCCAACCUGCCCACCACUUGGGGAUAACCUUGCGAAAGUAAGACUAAUACCCAAUGACGUCUCUAGAAGACAUCUGAAAGAGAUUAAAAGAUUUAUCGGUGAUGGAUGGGGAUGCGUCUGAUUAGCUUGUUGGCGGGGUAACGGCCCACCAAGGCUACGAUCAGCAGGGGUUCUGAGAGGAAGGUCCCCCACAUUGGAACUGAGACACGGUCCAAACUCCUACGGGGAGGCA